AAAGAAAGAAAGAAAGAAAGAAAGAAAGAAAGAAAGAAAGAAAGAAAGAACGAGCUAGGGGUUCAGCAGGCCUGUAUUCCAAACCCACCGCCACCCCUGCCAGCCUGCAAGUGUGACCAGACCAGACUCUUCACUGCCUCAGCUGCCACUUCUUCAGCUGUCACAUGGAAGGCAGGACAGUCCUAACACCGCCAUGCAAGGGGGUUGUGAGGACAUAAUGUGCAGGCGUGGACAGAGUACAAGGCCACUGUUCCUGCCUUCCCCCUUUUCCAGUCAGACACAUGUUCCAGGCCUGUACCCAGGAAGGGAAAAGGCUGUGACAGCCUCGGGCACCCAGUGACCGAAAGCUCCCCCAGCUCUGGGUGUGUGGCUGGCACAGCAAAUGCUCUCAGGCAUGUAACAAAGCAAGCUCAGCCCACAGUGGGUGAUGGUGACGUUUGAUGACUUAAAACAAUUAAACCCAUAAUCAGAGGGUGCUCCGACUCGGCUGCUGUGGGUUUGUUUGCCCACGAGUCACAAUAAUCUUGCUGGAGUGUGCAUCAGCCGUUAGCCCUCAAAGUUCUGUUGCUAAGAGAUUAUGAACCAAAUGAUGUUUCCAAAAAAUAACCACUACAGGAUGUUCCAGGAGAGAGCCACAAUAACAGCCCAAACAGAAUGGAUAUGUUGUUAUUGAUAAAUCCUUAUAAAGAGCCGAGGCUGGGGAAGCCUGGCCAUGCACAUCCUCUGUAAAUUACUGGCUUGCCAAGGUUUCAAACAUAACAAAAUACAGUUAUCUGUGAUGACGGGAAGGGCUGUAAUAUAAGGCCUUCAGGAUUCCAAAAGUUCCUCCAUCCACCAAGAUGUAUCUUUUGGAGGCCUGUUGUUUGCCUCUUCGGUGACUGUUUACAACGAUCUCAGCCACAUUUCGGAGCAGUCACUAAGUCUAACGUAGCUGUAACCACUCCCUGCUUGACACCGUGCCUGGGGGGACAAUUGAUGAAGUGAGGGAGCCACGGUCCAGAGGGACAAAGUGAGGUGUCAAGGUCACACAGCUAGUAGGACAGGAGGCCGAUGCAUGUCCUCUAGCCCUGGAUCCCAGGAUCUUCACUGCUCUCCAGACCCCUGGGCUCCCCGUGAUGGACACCACAUAGGAAACCGCCCAGGUGCUACAGUGGCUCCCGGAAAGGGGUCAGUGUUUCCAUGGGCCGGCCCCGGUGCCCCUCAGCUACUGUGGCGUGCUGGGGCGAGAGGGCCACCGGCGCUCUACCUUCCUCCUCCUUCCAGGGGACAGGGUCAUGAAUAAAGCAGGUCAUGAAGAUCCCA